rnacentral:rRNA from 1 species
GACGAACGCUGGCGGCGUGCUUAACACAUGCAAGUCGAGCGAUGAAACACCUUCGGGUGCGGAUUAGCGGCGAACGGGUGAGGAACACGUGAGGAAUCUGCCUUCCACUCUGGGAUAACUCCGGGAAACCGGGGCUAAUACCGGAUACUUUCAACUGGCGGCAUCGCCGGUUGAAGAAAGUUUUUCGGUGGAAGAUGACCUCGCGGCCUAUCAGCUUGGUGGUGAGGAAAAGGCUCACCAAGGCGACGACGGGUAGCCGGCCUGGGAGGGCGACCGGCCACACUGGGACUGAGAAACGGCCCAGACUCCUACGGGAGGCAGCAGUGGGGAAUAUUGGGCAAUGGAGGAAACUCUGACCCAGCGACGCCGCGUGAGGGAUGAAGGCCUUCGGGUUGUAAACCUCUUUCAGCAGGGAAGAAGCGAAAGUGAAGGUACCUGCAGAAGAAGCACCGGCUAACUAUGUGCCAGCCGCCGCCGUAA